UAUUAAAUAGUCAUGCAAAUCAGCUAGUCAUAUAUAGAAUAAUAUAACGUCAAAUUACAAAUGACUACAUUCAGAUAUGUUGAAGAACAAAUAAUUACAACAAAAUACACCACCUUCUUCCCCCUGUAACUACUAGUAACCCCUUGACUUUUCACAGUCAAUAUCACAAGGAUAUUUUUCGCGUAACAAUAUUCCAAUGACUACAAUUUAUUUGUCAACCAAAGGUAAUGAGUUAACUUGAAUGCAGAUGUUUUCAUGAAAACAAAUCUAAUCAACACAUUAUUGUUUAAGGAAAUCAUUUAAAUUCAUUUAGAAAAAUCAAGAAAUUUGGCAUGAUUCCCAACGUAACAGCUUUUUACAACUAAAUGACGUAAAGUAAGCAAACAUACGUCCGUUAAACAAUAAUAUAAAAUUAUACCUUAAAGAAAA
rnacentral:lncRNA from 1 species